UACGUAGGGGGCAAGCGUUGUUCGGAAUUACUGGGCGUAAAGGGCGCGUAGGCGGCACAGCAAGUCGGGAGUGAAAGCCCGGGGCUCAACCCCGGAACUGCUUUCGAAACUGCUGAGCUAGAGUGCGGAAGAGGCAACUGGAAUUCCCAGUGUAGCGGUGAAAUGCGUAGAUAUUGGGAAGAACACCGGAGGCGAAGGCGGCAUCCUGGACCAUUACUGACGCUGAGGCGCGAAAGCUAGGGGAGCAAACGGG
rnacentral:rRNA from 1 species